rnacentral:lncRNA from 1 species
GUGCUAUAGACAGCAACUGUGUGUAAGUUGUUGGCUCCAAUUCAGUAACUGCACAGAAGCCAAAUCCAUCCUGCUUCCUGUGGAGAGAGUAUCAGGAUAAAAGAAACUGCUGCUGCAGAUUUCCAAGUAUGCAGGAGUCCUACAAAGACAGAGAUUUGGCUCCUCCCUCAAUGGACCCUCCCUUCA